GUCCUCCCUCACUGCAUCCAUAUAUCUCCUCUUUGGCCGUCGUCUUUGUCUCCUACCAGUAGCCCAAUUUCCAUCAGUGCCCUGUAGGUCAACGGCCCAACUCGGGCCUUGACCGAGGAGGACAAGGCUAAGGAACAGUCUGACAUCAGAGGAGCUUUAUAGACCUGCGGCUACCCCAACUGGGCCUUCUCCAAAGCCACCAAAACCAACCAGAAGAACAGAGAGGAGAACGACCCAUCAACACCCUUCGACAAAGACCGAUUAAUCUAAAGGACAACAUACCACGUUGACAAACAGCACAGUGCAGUGAGGACUACCCUGACCUCUACAUUGGGGAAACCAAACAACCACUGUACAAGUGUGUGCAACAACACAGAAGAGGCAGCUCCUCCGGGCAGGAUCUUCCCUUGGUCACCGUCUCUGCAAAGGAGGAGGAUCAUUAAUACGAUUCAUUAAAUUUCAUCAACAUCAUUUUUAAAGACAUUAACCCCCAAAGAGCCAUGCUCUAGUUUGACUAAAAUGUGCAAAGAUGAAUGUCAGCAUUUUUUUUUCCUUUCUUUUUUUUUUUUUUUUUGUCUGAUAAGACGUCUUCACUAUCAGGCUUUUCUUUAAAAUUAAACAUAGUAAUAAAAUUCUGCACUGCUGUGCAAAGGGAAUGUAACUCACUAUCACUUCUUGGAAACUUAAAACGCAGUACAGGAUGUUAAAAUGCUGUAAUAUUUUAGUAUCGAUUGCAGGAAGCCCUAUGGGGGAGAAAUUGCUUAAUGUAACAUUAAUCUGUGCUUCAAAAAUCUAGGUCUGUAAGUAAUGAAGUUAAAAAAAAACUAGCUUGAGCUUUAUUUAUUAAACAUCGCUAUGCAUUCCUCCCUCAAAGUAUUUGUAUGUGCUGUUAUUUAAAUAGGAUAAUCCUAAACCCUCAGUCGUUCCAAAUAGGUUUGGGUCAGUGCCACAUCAAUAUGCUUUACUGUGUCUGCAGGCAAACUGUUGGGGGGAGAAUGCUAGCUGCUAUUUCGGAAUUUAAAGCUUCUCGUCCUAUGGGACUGUUUUGCAUCACUGACAGGAUUAGAACAGAGAAACCCAUUGCAAUGCAAAAAGAAUGAAAAGUCACAUUUGUUGACUUUUGCUGUAUUCGGCUUAUCUGUUAGUAACAAUGUCUCAGACAUUGACGAUACAAGGCAUUGCAUAAAAUGAACACGAAUAAAUGUGUUCCUUGGCACUGACUAAAUUCUGAAAUCUACAAACGUCAAACCCAGUAACCAAGGUAAACUUAAAGUUUAAAUUUUUAAAAUUUCCAAAAACUAUAACAGUGGUCCCUCUCCUAUCACGGUAGUUGCAUUCCCAGACUUACUGAGACAAUGGGAAAAAAAUCACAAAGUAAAGGUGAGAUAGUAUAUAUAUUUACCCU